GUGUCAGCCGCCGCGGUAAUACGUAGGGUGCGAGCGUUAAUCGGAAUUACUGGGCGUAAAGCGGGCGCAGACGGUUACUUAAGCAGGAUGUGAAAUCCCCGGGCUCAACCUGGGAACUGCGUUCUGAACUGGGUGACUAGAGUGUGUCAGAGGGAGGUAGAAUUCCACGUGUAGCAGUGAAAUGCGUAGAGAUGUGGAGGAAUACCGAUGGCGAAGGCAGCCCCCUGGGCCUGUACUGACGCUCAUGCACGAAAGCGUGGGGAGCAAACAGGAUUAGAUACCCUGGUAGUCCACGCCCUAA
rnacentral:rRNA from 1 species